AGAGUUUGAUCAUGGCUCAGAUUGAACGCUGGCGGCAGGCCUAACACAUGCAAGUCGAACGGUAACAGGAAGAAGCUUGCUUCUUUGCUGACGAGUGGCGGACGGGUGAGUAAUGUCUGGGAAACUGCCUGAUGGAGGGGGAUAACUACUGGAAACGGUAGCUAAUACCGCAUAACGUCGCAAGACCAAAGAGGGGGACCUUCGGGCCUCUUGCCAUCGGAUGUGCCCAGAUGGGAUUAGCUAGUAGGUGGGGUAACGGCUCACCUAGGCGACGAUCCCUAGCUGGUCUGAGAGGAUGACCAGCCACACUGGAACUGAGACACGGUCCAGACUCCUACGGGAGGCAGCAGUGGGGAAUAUUGCACAAUGGGCGCAAGCCUGAUGCAGCCAUGCCGCGUGUAUGAAGAAGGCCUUCGGGUUGUAAAGUACUUUCAGCGGGGAGGAAGGGAGUAAAGUUAAUACCUUUGCUCAUUGACGUUACCCGCAGAAGAAGCACCGGCUAACUCCGUGCCAGCAGCCGCGGUAAUACGGAGGGUGCAAGCGUUAAUCGGAAUUACUGGGCGUAAAGCGCACGCAGGCGGUUUGUUAAGUCAGAUGUGAAAUCCCCGGGCUCAACCUGGGAACUGCAUCUGAUACUGGCAAGCUUGAGUCUCGUAGAGGGGGGUAGAAUUCCAGGUGUAGCGGUGAAAUGCGUAGAGAUCUGGAGGAAUACCGGUGGCGAAGGCGGCCCCCUGGACGAAGACUGACGCUCAGGUGCGAAAGCGCGGGGAGCAAACAGGAUUAGAUACCCUGGUAGUCCACGCCGUAAACGAUGUCGACUUGGAGGUUGUGCCCUUGAGGCGUGGCUUCCGGAGCUAACGCGUUAAGUCGACCGCCUGGGGAGUACGGCCGCAAGGUUAAAACUCAAAUGAAUUGACGGGGGCCCGCACAAGCGGUGGAGCAUGUGGUUUAAUUCGAUGCAACGCGAAGAACCUUACCUGGUCUUGACAUCCACAGAACUUUCCAGAGAUGGAUUGGUGCCUUCGGGAACUGUGAGACAGGUGCUGCAUGGCUGUCGUCAGCUCGUGUUGUGAAAUGUUGGGUUAAGUCCCGCAACGAGCGCAACCCUUAUCUUUUGUUGCCAGCGGUCCGGCCGGGAACUCAAAGGAGACUGCCAGUGAUAAACUGGAGGAAGGUGGGGAUGACGUCAAGUCAUCAUGGCCCUUACGACCAGGGCUACACACGUGCUACAAUGGCGCAUACAAAGAGAAGCGACCUCGCGAGAGCAAGCGGACCUCAUAAAGCGCGUCGUAGUCCGGAUUGGAGUCUGCAACUCGACUCCAUGAAGUCGGAAUCGCUAGU
rnacentral:rRNA from 1 species